rnacentral:rRNA from 1 species
GACGAACGCUGGCGGCGUGCCUAAUACAUGCAAGUCGAGCGGAACAGGGGGAGCUUGCUCCUUCCAGUUUAGCGGCGGACGGGUGAGUAACACGUGGGCAACCUGCCCUGCAGAUCGGGAUAACUCCGGGAAAACCGGUGCUAAUACCGAAUAGUUUGGCGCCUCUCCUGAGGCGCUACGGAAAGACGGUUUCGGCUGUCACUGCAGGAUGGGCCCGCGGCGCAUUAGCUAGUUGGUGGGGUAACGGCCCACCAGGGCGACGAUGCGUAGCCGACCUGAGAGGGUGACCGGCCACACUGGGACUGAGACACGGCCCAGACUCCUACGGGAGGCAGCAGUAGGGAAUCUUCCGCAAUGGACGCAAGUCUGACGGAGCAACGCCGCGUGAGUGACGAAGGUUUUCGGAUCGUAAAACUCUGUUGUGAGGGAAGAACACGUACCAACUAACUAUUGGUACCUUGACGGUACCUCACCAGAAAGCCACGGCUAACUACGUGCCAGCCGCCGCCGUAA